rnacentral:rRNA from 1 species
GACGAACGCUGGCGGCGUGCUUAACACAUGCAAGUCACGGGGGCCCAGGGGCAACUCUGGGCAACCGGCGAACGGGUGCGUAACACGUGAGCAACCUGCCUAUCUGCGGGGGAUAGCCGGCCCAACGGCCGGGUAAUACCGCAUACGUUCACGAGGGGACAUCCCCUUGUGAGGAAAACUCCGGUGCAGAUAGAGGGGCUCGCGGCCUAUCAGCUAGUUGGUGAGGUAACGGCUCACCAAGGCGACGACGGGUAGCUGGUCUGAGAGGAUGGCCAGCCACAUUGGGACUGCGACACGGCCCAGACUCCUACGGGAGGCAGCAGUGGGGAAUAUUGCGCAAUGGACGAAAGUCUGACGCAGCGACGCCGCGUGUGGGAUGAAGCUCUUCGGGGGUGUAAACCACUGUUGCCCGGGAAGAAUCUCCUGAUUUAUCAGGAUUGACGGUACCGGGUGAGGAGCACCGGCUAACUCUGUGCCAGCCGCCGCUGUAAC